UUCCCCUUCGGGGGCAAAGUGACAGGUGGUGCAUGGUUGUCGUCAGCUCGUGUCGUGAGAUGUUGGGUUAAGUCCCGCAACGAGCGCAACCCUUAUUGUUAGUUGCCAUCAUUCAGUUGGGCACUCUAGCAAGACUGCCGGUGACAAACCGGAGGAAGGUGGGGAUGACGUCAAAUCAUCAUGCCCCUUAUGACCUGGGCUACACACGUGCUACAAUGGGAAGUACAACGAGUUGCGAAGUCGCGAGGCUAAGCUAAUCUCUUAAAGCUUCUCUCAGUUCGGAUUGCAGGCUGCAACUCGCCUGCAUGAAGCCGGAAUCGCUAGUAAUCGCGGAUCAGCACGCCGCGGUGAAUACGUUCCCGGGCCUUGUACACACCGCCCGUCACACCACGAGAGUUUGUAACACCCGAAGUCGGUGAGGUAACCUUUUGGAGCCAGCCGCCUAAGGUGGGAUAGAUGAUUGGGGUGAAGUCGUAACAAGGUAGCCGUAUCGGAAGGUGCGGCUGGAUCACCUCCUUU
rnacentral:rRNA from 1 species